GAAAUGGGCAGCUCACUGGCACUCAGCCCUGGUGGUCUCCUGCCCCGUGGCGGCAAGCUGGCAAGCGGAAGGAGGCAAUGGCCCGGUGCUGGGAUGCUGUGGAGCAAGGAGAAGGCAAGUACAAAGUUUACUUGCUGGUGGGAUCGCUACUUGAAGGCAACUGAUAUUCAGCUCUGAAGCUGGUUGAUGUCUGGCAAUUGACAGCAGCUGGUGGAUGGUUGUCAGAAGAGUUUGCAUUGAGACUAGUGGAUGCCACAAGGUUACGCUGGCUGAGAUGGAUGCAAACUGGUUUGGAAGCCUUGUUUGUGAACAGGCAGCCAAACAGAGGAGGAGUCUGGGGGGAUGAUUAGGAUGGGGACCAUCCUACUCACCUGUUUGCCUUUGCCUUACAGGGAUGUCUGGAGCCAGUGAAGUUUUCCCCAAGUUCAGCCUUCAAAGUCAUGAAGAGAACCGCAGGACUUCCCUAUUUACAUCGGAGAAAUGAACGUGAAAUCCUGGCAGUGAACAAUGGACAAGGCCAGACGUGAGAGAAGGAGCUUUGAAGGGAGACUGCAGGCGGACAUCUGCUGCAUUGCAAGUGAUGGGGCAGUGGGGAGAGAGAAGAAAAUGAGGGCCACAUUAGGCGCACCAUUGGAAGUGCUAUGAAGACGCUUUGAACAGGAAUGGCUUCCCCUCAGGGAUUCUGGGAACUGUAGGUGGUUAAGGGGACGAAGAGUUGCUGGGGGGGUUAGUGUUAGGGUAGAGGUAGAGUUAGGGGGUAGGGGGUAGGGGUAGGGGUAGGGGUAGGGGAAGGGUUCCCUCCUUGUGAGGGAACUCUGGGAAUUGUAGCUCUAGUUAAGGGUUAGAGUUAGGGUUAGCGUCAGGGGUAGGGUUAGGCUUCCCUUCUUGCCAGGGAGCUCUGGGAAUUGUAGUUCUAGUUAAGCGUUAAGGGUUAGCAUUAGAGUUAGGGUUAGCGUUAGCAUAAGGAAAAGGGUUAGGGUUAGGAGUAGGGUUCCCUUCUUGGCAGGGAACUCUGGGAGGGGAGCAGGGCUGCCUCCUAACAGCUCUCUGUACCCUUUUCAAACUAUAGCUCCCAGAUUCUUUGGGGAAGAAGCCAUGAGUGUUUAAAGCGGCUUCAUAGCGCUUUAAAUGGUGUGGAUGUGGCCCUGGCCUCCCUCACCCCACUGCCUCUUAUUAUUGAGGAAUUGAAAGGAUUUCCCCACUCAAAUCUCUCGGAAACAGGAAACAGGAAGAAGAAAAACUUUGCAUCUGAUGCUAUUUUUAAAUGUCUUAACUUGAAAUGCCA